GAUGAACGCUAGCUACAGGCUUAACACAUGCAAGUCGCGGGGCAGCAUGGGGGUUGCUUGCAACCCCUGAUGGCGACCGGCGCACGGGUGAGUAACGCGUAUCCAACCUGCCCUUCACCACGGGAUAACCCGGCGAAAGUCGGACUAAUACCGUAUGUUGUCCAUUGACGGCAUCCGAUUUGGACGAAGGGCGUGGGGGGGAAGGGAGGGGGGUGCGGUCGAUUAGGUUGACGGGGGGGGCACGGCCCAGCGUGGGUACGAUCGGUUGGGGUUCUGAGAGGAAGGUCCCCCACAAUGGAACUGAGACACGGUCCAGAAUCCUACGGGAGGCAGCAGUGAGGAAGGUUGGGCAAUGGGCGUAAGCCUGAACCAGCCAAGUAGCGUGCAGGAGGACGGCCCUAUGGGUUGUAAACUGCUUUUAUGCGGGGAUAAAGUGGCCAACGUGUGGGCUUUUGCAGGUACCGCAUGAAUAAGGACCGGCUAAUUCCGUG
rnacentral:rRNA from 1 species